rnacentral:rRNA from 1 species
AAGGGUGGCGUAGGCGGCCUGUUAAGUCAGGGGUGAAAGACGGUAGCUCAACUAUCGCAGUGCCCUUGAUACUGAUGGGCUUGAAUUGACUAGAGGUAGGCGGAAUGUGACAAGUAGCGGUGAAAUGCAUAGAUAUGUCACAGAACACCGAUUGCGAAGGCAGCUUACUAUGGUCUUAUUGACGCUGAGGCACGAAAGCGUGGGGAUCAAACAGGAUUAGAUACCCGAGU